rnacentral:rRNA from 1 species
GCCAGACUCCUACGGGAGGCAGCAGUGAGGAAUAUUGGUCAAUGGCCGAGAGGCUGAACCAGCCAAGUCGCGUGAGGGAAGACUGCCCUAUGGGUUGUAAACCUCUUUUGUCAGGGAGCAAUUGGCGCUACGUGUAGCGUUAUCGAGAGUACCUGAAGAAAAAGCAUCGGCUAACUCCGUGCCAGCAGCCGCGGUAAUACGGAGGAUGCGAGCGUUAUCCGGAUUUAUUGGGUUUAAAGGGUGCGCAGGCGGAUUUUUAAGUCAGCGGUCAAAUCGUGGGGCUCAACCCCAUCCAGCCGUUGAAACUGGGGAUCUAGAGUGUGCGAGAGGUAUGCGGAAUGCGUGGUGUAGCGGUGAAAUGCAUAGAUAUCACGCAGAACCCCGAUUGCGAAGGCAGCAUACCGGUGCACAACUGACGCUCAGGCACGAAAGCGUGGGUAUCGAACAGGAUUAGAUACCCGUGUAC